rnacentral:rRNA from 1 species
UAAAGAAAGUAAGAAAGGGCGUAUGGCGGAUGCCUAGGCUCACGGAGGCGAUGAAGGACGUGAUAAGCUGCGAUAAGCUUCGGGUAGGUGCAAAUAACCUUUGAUCCGAAGAUUUCCGAAUGGGACAACCUAGCCGUCUGAAGGACGGUUACUCUUACCAAUGUAAGAGAGCUAACGCAGGGAACUGAAACAUCUUAGUACCUGCAGGAAGAGAAAAUAAAUGAAUGAUUCCCCCAGUAGUGGCGAGCGAACGGGGAACAGCCCAAACCGUUGACGUCGCAAGGCGCCAGCGGGGUUGUAGGACCGCGACAUUGUAUGCAAAUCGUGAACAGAACACUUUGGAAAAUGUGACCAUAGACGGUGAUAGUCCAGUAUGUGAAGCGAAAUGCAGCAUAGCGGUAUCCUGAGUAACGCGGGACACGAGGAAUCCUGCGCGAAUCUGCCGGGACCAUCCGGUAAGGCUAAAUACUCCCGUGAGACCGAUAGCGAACGAGUACUGUGAAGGAAAGGUGAAAAGAACCCCGAGCAGGGGAGUGAAAUAGUUCCUGAAACCAUACGCCUACAAGCGGUCGGAGCAUCGUAAGAUGUGACGGCGUGCCUUUUGCAUAAUGAUCCUACGAGUUACCGUCACUGGCGAGGUUGAGUGUCACGAGACACGUAGCCGCAGUGAAAGCGAGCCUGAAUAGGGCGCACAGUCAGUGGGGGUAGACGCGAAACCAAGUGAUCUACACUUGGCCAGGAUGAAGUCCCGGUAACACGGGAUGGAGGUCCGCACCAAUAAGCGUUGAAAAGCUUCUGGAUGAGCCGAGUGUAGGAGUGAAAGGCCAAUCAAACUUGGAGAUAGCUCGUACUCCCCGAAAGGCAUUUAGGUGCCGCGUCGGAUGGUCACCGUGAGAGGUAGAGCGACCGAUAGGACAAGAGGGCUUCACCGCCUAUCGAGUCCUGACGAACUCCGAAUGCUCACGGUCUGCAGUCCGGCAGUAAGGGGGCGGGUGCUAAGGUCCGUCCCCGAGAGGAGAAGAAUCCAGACCGCCGUCUAAGGUCCCGGAGUUCUGCCUGAGUUAGUCUAACGAAGUCUGGUCCCUAUGACAGCUAGGAUGUUGGCUUGGAAGCAGCCAUUCAUUCAAAGAGUGCGUAACAGCUCACUAGUCGAGGGUCCGGGCAUGGAUAAUAAUCGGGUAUAAGGCAGACACCGAAGGCGCGGGAUAGCAAUUAUAAAAGUAUCGGUAGGGGAGCAUACUCACAGCGUCGAAUGGUGUACGUAAGUUAUCCUGGAGCGGUGAGUAAAGCAAAUGUAGGAAUAAGUAACGAUAAGGAGGGUUAGAUUCCCUCCCGCUGUAAGACCAAGGUUUCCCGGGCAAUGCCAAUCAGCCCGGGGUCAGUCGGGUCCUAAGUCUAAGCCGAACGGCGAUGGCGAUGGCAGAGACGGUUAAUAUUCCGUCACUGCCGCAUGGGGCGACGUGGAGACGGAGCAGUGAAACCACCGCGGGGCGACGGAAGUCCCCGUUGAAGAGUGUAGG